AGGAGGAUGAAUCAACACGAACAUAAAUAGAUAGGCCCUUCACAGAGGGAAGCAUUGAUUUGCAGAGGUGCCAGAGCUCAAGCUUUGAAAACAGAGAUAAUAAUUUUGGGUGGCAUGCUUUCAUUGUGAACGCAAUGACUAAGAGUUCUCAACAAGUUCCACGCUACACAUGCUAUAGGCGGUUCCCAAACAGAAAAGUAAAGUUUUGACUCCCCCAACC
rnacentral:lncRNA from 1 species